CCUACGGGAGGCAGCAGUGGGGAAUAUUUGGCAAUGGGCGCAAGCCUGACCCAGCAACGCCGCGUGAAGGAAGAAAGCUUUCGGGUUGUAAACUUCUUUUGACAGGGAAGAACCGAAGACGUUACCUGUCGAAUAAGCCACGGCUAACUACGUUCCAGCAGCCGCUGUAAUACGUAGGUGGCAAGCUUUGUCCGGAUUUACUGGGUGUAAAGGGCGUGUAGCCGGGCUGACAAGUCAGAUGUGAAAUCCGGGGGCUCAACCCCCGAACUGCAUUUGAAACUGUUGGUCGUGAGUAUCGGAGAGGCAGGCGGAAUUCCUAGGGGAGCGGGGAAAUGCGUAGAGAUUAGGAGGAACACCAGUGGCGAAGGCGGCCGGCUGGACGACAACUGACGGUGAGGCGCGAAAGCGUGGGGAGCAAACAGGAUUAGAUACCCCGGUAGUC
rnacentral:rRNA from 1 species